CUGCACAAUGCCUCCCGGGCUUCUCUUAUGGGCUUGUUGAUGAUGAAAGCCCCAAUGCUUGUGCUGAAGUAGUGCCAUUUAGGUCCCGUUUGGUUUGUAGAAUAGACUUCAGGAAUGGAAUGACUAUUCCU